CUCCAGACUCCUACGGGAGGCAGCAGUGAGGAAUAUUGGUCAAUGGGCGAGAGCCUGAACCAGCCAAGUCGCGUGAGGGAGUACUGCCCUAUGGGUUGUAAACCUCUUUUGUCGGGGAGCAAAGAGGCCUCGUGAGGUCAAAAGCGAGAGUACCCGAAGAAAAAGCAUCGGCUAACUCCGUGCCAGCAGCCGCGGUAAUACGGAGGAUGCGAGCGUUAUCCGGAUUUAUUGGGUUUAAAGGGUGCGUAGGCGGGCCGGUAAGUCGGCGGUAAAAAGGCGGAGCUCAACCCCGUCGAGCCGUUGAAACUGCCGUUCUUGAGUGAGCGAGAAGUAUGCGGAAUGCGUGGUGUAGCGGUGAAAUGCAUAGAUAUCACGCAGAACUCCGAUUGCGAAGGCAGCAUACCGGCGCUCAACUGACGCUGAAGCACGAAGGCGUGGGUAUCGAACAGGAUUAGAUACCCGCGUAAU
rnacentral:rRNA from 1 species